AAUGUCCAUUCCUGCAAGCCCAAACUGCAAGAACACCACAGACAGGAAAGGUUUGGCUGAGGCACACCAUCGGCUAACUUGGAUAUUCAUCCUUCUUCAAAAGGAUGCUGAAGCUGCGAGAGAACAGAAAGAUUUGCAGGCUUUGGUUGGUGGAAGAUGAGCAAUGAAAUUCAGAUUCCACAAUUAUGUGGAAGAGUUAGAUAAUGGUUUGAUUCUUUGGAGUAAUUCUUGUACUUCUCAGGUUAUUCCGUAAAUAGAAUAUAAUUCUGAUCAAUCUAUGACAUUUCUUAAUCUAUAUAUACACAUACAUAUAUGUAUGUAUGUAUAUUCCUAUGGCUUCUAUAUCUUUAAUUAUUUGGGUUACUUCUGCAAUUCUGGGUUGAAAGUCCUUUUCAUCCUUAAAUUCUAUCAUUUGAAAUCUAUACACCUAAUAAUGUCGUGAGAAUGAAUUGACUGUUGUAUGGUU